CGGUAAUGCGCACAUCAUGGGCGAGAGUGGGCGCGCAAGGUCGAAACAGGUUGUAGCGGUGGGUGGCAGUGGGUGGUUGUCUCGGUAUCCGCAAAAGUAACCCAAAGUUGUGAAUAACCCAAAAGUGCGUGCCCCUGAUUGGGCCAAGGUGGGAGUACCGUUAGAUCAACAGCUCCACACGACAUAAACAAACACCAGAGUGCCAAAGUCUACCGUCACGUGCUUGUCAACGUCUCGGCGGUUUUGUAACGCCCAUGACCCCGGGCACGCUGAAGCUUUACAAGUGACCCCCGGUCGCAUGGACUUUGCACUGGGCCAACGGUAACUGCUACUACCUGAACCUGAGCCAAAGUCCCACAGCGCUUUCAUCAUACUUUUAGGACGAUGGCAGGACACGGCCAGGCAGCAUUUCCUACAGGGCACGAAGGACAUCCUCUUCUACAUCAAACGAGAGCGCCCACAAGGGAUACAGUUGUUAACGUGGCCAAGGAGCAGCGACUAUGGCGGGGACAAAAACACAAACAUGGUUGCCACGAGUGUCGCGAAGGACGAAGGACGAGGGCUUGCAGUUGAAGGAGCAGAGCACUUUAUGUGCAUAUAAUGUCCGCACACAUACUGAAAUCCAGGGACCCUUCGAGUACAGUGUCGGCCAAGUUGCGGGGAAUUGUUAAUAUUGUCUGGGCCUGUAAGCAGCAUUUACAUGCUGGCCGACACCACGUACUACAUACGUCCUGCCUGAUGGACGGGCUCCUGCUCCUGUUUCUGCUCCUGUUCCUAUUUCUGCUCCUGCUCCUGCCCAAGCGGAUGAUGCCGGCUUUAAAUGUUGAAUUAACCGACGAGGCUUUCAUUAGAGGCGGAGGAUGGAUCCAGUGCAGGGGUUUCAGGAUGUGGAAAGCCCAAAUGCCGAUGCAUUCUUGAUUCGUGACAUUAAGACAAAAAUAAACUUGAUUUUGGUAUGAAAUUGAUUCAUUCAUUUUCAAUCCAUUGAGUAAGAUUCUUAUCCGAUGGAUGAGUCGGGCCAGCCUCAGCACUUCCAACUGUGUGCACAUCCAACAGGUAGUCAAACCAGACAAACUGUCUCCACUUGGCAGCGGAUUCUUUUCCUCCUCUUUGCUCUUAAAAAUCACAUGUACUAAACAACACUAAAAAAUUACACUUUCUAGGGAAAGGAAAUAUAUAAUGUUGUGCAUUGGAUGGAACAAGUUUUUCCCUGAGAAAUUCAGUUGUUUUUUACCAAGAACAAUCCAGACUGUAUGGGUGCUAUGCUGAAUAUAUACGAGCGUCCUAUCUUCUUCUUCAUCUGCCAUUUGAUUUCUUAUGGACCAGCUGGAAACGAUUGGAAAUAAACAUUUAAAGUUAUAAAUAAUUAUUGUAAUGUACAUAAUUAUCACUGUAAUACUGUUAUAAUUCUGGUUCUUAUCAAUAUGGCCAAAUAAGAUAUUGUUAUAAAUAUAUUUAUGUUUCUAAUUGGAUUACUUUUUAAAGAGCAUACAUUCUUGUUAAGAGAUCUGAAAAGAGAGUUGCAAUUAUUUUCCUUUAUUGCUAAUAUAAAACGAGAUUUUCCUUUUUUAAAAUUUGUUCAAUACAAAUUCAAGUUUUGAAUAUAUGUGAAUUCAGACUUCUCCAGGGAAAUAGUGUUAUGUUUUUGGUCUGUUAGAAUUACUUACAACGAUAUCUGGGUAAAUCAAAAAGUAAUAAAAGUAAUAGUUUAUGCCAUUUACUUCUGGGCAUCAUUUUGGGCAGAAAUAUGUGAAAAAUAAAACUUAAACGUUAAGAGACCCAAAUGGAAAUAGUAUUAAAACAAAACCGCAUUAUAAAAAAAUAUAAAUAUAUAAUGCAAGUCAUAUCUAGACUUCCAAUUUUGUUAAUAAAAUCUGUUAGAACGGAGUAUCGAAUAGAAAAUAUAGUUCCAGGAUUAUUUCUAACAAAAUACGUACAGUAUUAUAAUAUUUUUUUUGCCUUACAUUAAAUAACUAUUAUAUUUUAUCAGACAAAAAACAUUCCAAAAUCGUUGUCUUUGAUCUUGAAUCAACUAAACACGGCUUACUAGAAUUGGUUAUGUAAUACAUAUUAGUCUCAGGAGUAUUCUAAAUUGAAGAGCCGUUAAAUACAUUUAAUUUUUAUUCGGAAACGCAUUAGCAAACGAUACAUAAAACGAAUUAGACGACAUUAUAAGAAACAAAAUUAUUAUUUUAAGAUCAAUACACCUAGAUCUAAGAUAAUUAAAAAUAUUACACUUUUUCGAAUCGUAUAUUAUAACAUUAUCUUAGACAACAUAUUUUUGGUUAGUUGUCUUUUUACAUUAUAUGAUUGAGAUAAAGCAGAGCAGUAUAAUAUGGGUUUUAAUAGUCUGAUAAUCUGAUAUGCCUUCCAUAGAAUAUUUGCGCAAAGAAAGCUUUUAGCUUUAUAACAUCCUUAUCCAUAAAUGGGUUUCAUUAGCCAAACUCAGCUUGCCACACUGUUAUUCAUGUUUUUUCUAUUAUAUUUUUUUAGAUAGUCAAAAAAAUGUAGAUUAACAAUAAAACUACAUACUGUUUUGCAGAAUUGGGCUAUUUUUAUACUUAUUUAUUAAGAUUCAUUAAAUUCUAGACGAUCACGCAUACGCCACUACUUAAAACUUGUUCAGCCCAAAAGUAUGCAACAUUUUUUGUAAUGCAUUUUGUAAAGCAUACUUAUAUGUUUAAUUAUUGCCAGAUACAUAUUGACAUUCAACCGCAUAUGUUGUGUAUGUAUGAAACCAGUUUAUGUGUUGUAUUGGUUGUGUAAAUUUAUUUGAUUUUAUUAAUUGCUAAUCAAUUCAAUGCUUCAAAAGGAGUCCCCUGAUUAAUCUUAAGACACACGAAAUGAAAAUAAUUAUCUAUGAGUUUCCCAAAAAAUACCUUUAUUACAAAAUUAAAAGGUUACAAAUAACAUGUAUGAAUAAUUUAGAAACUAGCUGAUCGUAUUUGCACUUCUGCUUAUAUAAAUAAAUACGCAUAAAUGUCCUUUAAAUAAAUUUGAAUUUGGAUAAGAUUUAGUAAUUUAAAAUAAG